GGUGGCCGGCCGGGGCAAUCCAUCUUGUCUUGUGGUGUGCCAGUGCCUAGGACGGCAGCUGCUCCACGGCCACCUCCUCCAUCUUCUGGUGCGCCCGGGCCUCCAUCUCGCAGCAGAGGCAGGGCCGGCUGAGCACGGCGCCGUGCGCGUGCGCGUGCGCGUGCCCCACCCCGGCGGCGGCGACGGCGACGGCGUGCGCGUCGACGGGCGGGACAGGCUUGCGCGCGAUGAUGACGGAGUUGAUCACCUCCCCUUCCGGGUGGUGCACGGCGAGCACGUCGAAGCCGCCGCGGCGGAUCUCCUCGGGGUCCACGACGGGGUACAGGAAGCCGCGCGCGCCGUGCGCGCUCCGCACCACCAGCGCGGCGCCGGGCGCCAUGUGCCUCCCGAGGUGCUCCACCACGCGGGCCUUCUCCUCGGCGGCCAUGCCCACGAGCGCCGCCAGGAAGACGACGUCGUACCCGGCCAGGUCCCUGGUGACGUCGGCCACGUCGGAGGUGCGGAACGCCAUGCGCGCGGCGAGCGCCGCGUCGGCGCGCACGAGGCGGCGCGCGCGGUCGUUGGCGUCCCCGCAGAUGUCGUAGUUGUCGAAGGCCGCGGCCGGGAGGUGGCGCGCCGCGAGCACGAGGGAGCUGAGCGGGAGCGGGCCGGAGCCGACGAAGGCGACGCGCGCCGGCGGCGGUCCCGGGACGUGGCGCGCCAGCAGGCCGUGCUCCAGCUCGCUCAGCAGCAGGUAGUUGCUGAAGUAGGGGAAGAGCGUGAGGUGGUCCAGCGGGUUGUCGAAGCCCGCCAGCAGGUCGGAGUAGUGCGCCUCCAGCAGUGCCUCGGCGUCGGCGCAGAGGCGGAUGAGCCCCGCGCGCAUGGCCUGCAGCUCAGGGCCCAGGCGCUCCACGUCCACCGUGCUGCGCGGGAUGCACGCCGUCACGAGGGCGGUGAAGAGCGCGUUCACCUCCGGCGACGGGCUCAGCGACGGCAGCUUCGCGAUGGCCGCGGCCAGGCCGGAGAUCUUCUGCACCAGCGCCUCCUCGUCCGCCGUCAUGUCCGGCUCGACGACGACUCGUGCUUCUUCUUGGACCUCCUCCUCCUUCAGCUGCUGCUGCUGGUGGUGCUUCUCCUC
rnacentral:lncRNA from 1 species